UGACGAGUUUGAUCCGGGCUCAGAUUGAACGCUGGCGGAAUGCUUUACACAUGCAAGUCGAACGGUAGAGGGGGCAACCCCUCGAGAGUGGCGAACGGGUGAGUAAUAUAUCGGAACGUGCCCAGUCGUGGGGGAUAACGUAGCGAAAGUUACGCUAAUACCGCAUACGACCCGAGGGUGAAAGCGGGGGACUCGCAAGAGCCUCGCGCGAUUGGAGCGGCCGAUGGCAGAUUAGGUAGUUGGUGGGGUAAACGGCCCACCAAGCCUGCGAUCUGUAGCUGGUCUGAGAGGACGACCAG
rnacentral:rRNA from 1 species